GAAGUCAAAGAUUCUGUCGUUGUGAGCCGAAACGUCCUGCAGGGUCAGGACUUGUUUUCCAAUGCUGGUAACUCCAUAUUCUCCCCUACAACAAACAACCAAUAAUUUAGCCAAUACAAAAUGGGUCCUUCAAAUGUAUGGGCAUAUAGGGCCCUGAGGGUGAUUGAGCAAUGUAAAGUUGGGACAUACUUGUGAGAGUAGGGCACCAGGAUGUGCUUUUCAGUGCAUGAACCAGAGGUCAUGUGCUUGUUGUCAUUAUCAAACUUGUACUGGCAGGUCUGUGAGCUCCUGAUCAGCUGGGCAAGAGGGUAGUGC